rnacentral:lncRNA from 1 species
UUUUUUUCAAAGUUUAAUAUAUCAUCCAAUGACAUCAUGAAACACGUCCUUAUCUGUAAUUAAUAUAAAAAUAAAAAAAACACAUAGUUAAACAGAGGAAGUCCCAUUUCAGAUUUAUUUUCUUUAAUCUUCCUCAUUCGAUCUUACUUUUAAUUUCAGAUUUAUUUUCUUUAAUCUUCCUCAUUCGAUCUUACUUUUAAUUUCAGAUUUAUUUUCUUUAAUCUUCCUCAUUUGAUCUUACUUUUAAUUUCAGAUUUAUUUUCUUUAAUCUUCCUCAUUCGAUCUUACUUUCCAUGCUGUCUACGUCUCAAACUAUUUUUCCUUUUUUUAAGCAAAUUCACAUAGAUUCAUAGCACUUAAUUGCAAUAUAACCAUAACAAUCAUACAAUUGCAAUAUAACCAUAACAAUCAUACAAGUGAUAACAUAAACUAAAGCAAUCGCCCAACGGAGAAAAGUGUGAGUUAACGAAAUCGAAGUGACACAAUGACACGAGCUUGCUACACCGAACAUGUUCGGAUCUGAGUGCAAAAGCGGUGUCGGUUGGUGUGUGUUGGCGGCAUCUCGAUGAUGUACAGCGUCAAAGGGGUUGUGAUU